AACGAUUUGCUGAAUUAUCGACUUCCGUUUAUGUGUGUGUGUGUCUUUUUGUUUCUAUUUUCAUUUGCUUUUUAUCUUUUUUCAGAUCUUGGAUUUUCUUUUGUUUUUUCUCAUUUUUAUUUUUGCAUAUUUCUUUUUUAUAUAGGUUCUGCACUAUACUGUGAACUUUUUUUCAAUGUACACACUGAACUUUUAGUAUACGAUAAAUAUUUUUAAUACACACUAAACAUUACUUUAUAGUAUACGGUGAACAUUUUUCUACAUACAUUGAAGAUUACACAAACAUUUUUUCAAUACACGCUAAACAUUUCUUCAAUAUACUCUGUGUGUGUGUGUGUGUGUGUGUGAAAUGAAAGGGGUUCCCCCCUACCCCAACUAUAAUCCCUUGGCGGCUAGGAUAAACUCUCUUCUCUAGACUUCACCGGCAAGCCUGUGGAUUCGCCUCCCCUCUACCCGUCGCACCGGCGGUUGGUGACGGGGAGGGGAAUCCCGGUGCCUCCACUCCAUUUAGUAGUUUAGGUUAGGGUUUUUUAGUCCUGGCAGGUGUGACACACCCUCGGAGGAAGCACUCCCGGUGGAAUGUUGGCAAGGGCAUCCACCUGAGGGGGGCAAUGUUGAGGCGCGAUGGAUUCGCCGUCCAGAAGGUUACCCACCGCGCCGCCUGUUGUGGAUCUAGAGAUUCCGCCUCCUGGAUCGCCUAGAAAAGGAGCUCCAUGUCGCUGCAGCCGUAGUCGCCGAUGAAUUUCAGGAACUCCUCAAAGUUUGCAUGUUGAAUGAUGUUGGUGAAAAGCUCUGACCACUCCUUCCAAUCUUGAAACCGCUCCAACACCACCCUCCGCGUCUCCAUGCGCGCUUCUGGCGAGCUUGCAUCGAUUGGUGGAGGCGGCGAUGCCACAGGUAGCGACACCAGCCCCGCUACUCUCGUCGUCGGGUUUAGCUAGGGGAUCCUAACUUUGCGACGACGAGCGUCCACCAUGAGGCUCGAUGGAUGAAUUGGAAGGGCUUAGGGAAGGUGCAGUAAUGCAGGUGGGUGGGAAGGCAGGAGGGCGGAGAGGGAUGAAUCGCCUCGUCGUCAUAGGUCCCAAGGAGGAGGAGGAGCGCGAGACAUUUUCCAUCGCCCCGCGCUUCUGAUAUACAGUGAUUUUAUUAAUAUACAUACCGAACCUUUUUUAUAGAACAUAUACUAAAAAAAUUCCUAAAGUAUAUUUUUCUAUUUUAGUAGGUUUUAAAAAAUCCAGUUUCUAAAAACAAUAGCUGGAUUUGGGGUGAAAACAGACUAAAAAUGUACUCAAGUUAUCCAAUCAAACUGCAUUGCAGAUAGAUGUUGUUAGCAGAUAUAUUCAAGUAUUUAAACAUGCACGUUGAAGCAUAUGACAACCGACAUGUGUGUCUAAACUAUUAAAACUAGUUUUGUGAGAAUGUCAAAAGGCUACAAGGUUUUGUCCGAAACGGACGCUCUGUCACAUAAACAAAUGGAAAAGGAUAGAGUAUAUGCACCAUGAUGUUAAAAUGUAAAUUAAACUAAUAAGCAGCAGUCUAUAGUUUAUUGGCGAAAGGCCAUGAAGUUAACGUUUUUACGAAAAACCUCUUUACAUCGCUUAACUAGUUCGUCGAACAGGCAGCACAUGUCUGUAAGCAAGACUAUAUAAAUAUUCUGCCUGAACUUCAACGUAAAGACCGUAGUGGUAUGGGGGUUCGGUGGUGUAGUGGCAGCAAGCGCAGACACGCAAGGCUAGGUCUGUGGCUUGAAUCACGGCAGCCCCGCACAGGGGGGGCAAGACGGCGAUGGUGCAACUUUGCCGGAGAAAAACCCGGAUGUGGGCGGGGCUAGUGGGAUGGCCAGGGACGGCGUGCCUGCAUGGAGCGCCGCCGGCCGCGAGUGGUGGUCGCAGGCGGUUCGGCCGCCGGCCUGUGCGGCAGUUUGGGGAAGAAGAAGAUUUGAAGGAAGAAGAAGGGUCGGGCGCAGUUGGAUGUGCAUCGGACAUUCCACAAUGAUCGACUAACCCAAAUUCAAAAACCAGACGACUUACACCGCCAUUCCCAUUCUUUUUCCUAAACUGAGGUCAGCAGUCCAUCGCUUCAUGAAGAGUUAAUUACACCUGUAGUACAACAACUUGCUGUGAACUAACAAAAUCAUACAAAAACUAAAGAACCCCAGAAAAAUGGUACAAUAACUUAACUAACAGCACACUUUGAUACAAUUUCCGUUUAAAUUAACGCUGCACAGUCUGUGGCUGUUAACAGCGUGCACGCCAGCUGACGCUCUCCCUCUGUCCUGUGUGGGUCCUACUUAUCAGUUGGACAGUGCAAAAAAAAAUUCAAAAGCUGCGCUGCCGUGAUUAGAACCUGCGACGCAAGCAUACAUGGUUAGGCCCUUUACAACUACACCGUUAAAUUCUUUUUGUCGGUGUACAGCCAGUUACCUUUCAAUACCGUAGUUUUAGACACGUGCUCAGCGAUGCCGACCACAACGAUUUGCUGAAUUAUCGACUUCCGUUUAUGUGUGUGUGUGUCUUUUUGUUUCUAUUUUCAUUUGCUUUUUAUCUUUUUUCAGAUCUUGGAUUUUCUUUUGUUUUUUCUCAUUUUUAUUUUUGCAUAUUUCUUUUUUAUAUAGGUUCUGCACUAUACUGUGAACUUUUUUUCAAUGUACACACUGAACUUUUAGUAUACGAUAAAUAUUUUUAAUACACACUAAACAUUACUUUAUAGUAUACGG
rnacentral:lncRNA from 1 species